CGUUGAAAAACCGGUUCCUGUACGAUCACCAAAGUUUAGCAACGUUGAGCCUGGUCAGUAACUGGAUGGGUGACCGCUUGGGAAUACCAUUUGCUGUAAG